GCCCGUUGGUCAAGCGGUUAAGACACCGCCCUUUCACGGCGGUAACACGGGUUCGAAUCCCGUACGGGUCAU
rnacentral:tRNA from 1 species